rnacentral:rRNA from 1 species
CAGCCGCCGCGGUAAUACAGAGGGUGCGAGCGUUAAUCGGAUUUACUGGGCGUAAAGCGUGCGUAGGCGGCUUCUUAAGUCGGAUGUGAAAUCCCUGAGCUUAACUUAGGAAUUGCAUUCGAUACUGGGAAGCUAGAGUAUGGGAGAGGAUGGUAGAAUUCCAGGUGUAGCGGUGAAAUGCGUAGAGAUCUGGAGGAAUACCGAUGGCGAAGGCAGCCAUCUGGCCUAAUACUGACGCUGAGGUACGAAAGCAUGGGGAGCAAACAGGAUUAGAUACCCGUGUAGCCUGUCUCUUAUACAC